rnacentral:rRNA from 1 species
AGUGAACGCUGGCGGUAGGCCUAACACAUGCAAGUCGAACGGCAGCACAGGAGAGCUUGCUCUCUGGGUGGCGAGUGGCGGACGGGUGAGGAAUACAUCGGAAUCUACUUUUCGUGGGGGAUAACGUAGGGAAACUUACGCUAAUACCGCAUACGACCUACGGGUGAAAGCAGGGGAUCUUCGGACCUUGCGCGAUUGAAUGAGCCGAUGUCGGAUUAGCUAGUUGGCGGGGUAAAGGCCCACCAAGGCGACGAUCCGUAGCUGGUCUGAGAGGAUGAUCGGCCACACUGGAACUGAGACACGGUCCAGACUCCUACGGGAGGCAGCAGUGGGGAAUAUUGGACAAUGGGCGCAAGCCUGAUCCCGCCAUACCGCGUGGGUGAAGAAGGCCUUCGGGUUGUAAAGCCCUUUUGUUGGGAAAGAAAUCCAGCUGGUUAAUACCCGGUUGGGAUGACGGUACCCAAAGAAUAAGCACCGGCUAACUUCGUGCCAGCCGCCGCCGUAA